rnacentral:rRNA from 1 species
UACGGAGGGGGCUAGCGUUGUUCGGAAUUACUGGCGUAAAGCGCACGUAGGCGGCUUUGUAAGUUAGAGGUGAAAGCCCGGGGCUCAACUCCGGAAUUGCCUUUAAGACUGCAUCGCUAGAAUUGUGGAGAGGUGAGUGGAAUUCCGAGUGUAGAGGUGAAAUUCGUAGAUAUUCGGAAGAACACCAGUGGCGAAGGCGACUCACUGGACACAUAUUGACGCUGAGGUGCGAAAGCGUGGGGAGCAAACAGG